CCCUCAGCCUUCACAAGCACAAUAGAGCCAGCCCAAUUUAGCCCAAAGAGAGUCCAGCUUGGACACGAUUUUGGUGGGGGAGGCGGGUGCGAGUCGCGGAUUGGCGCUGCCGGGGGCGAUUGCGACGAUCAGCGGUGGCUCGUGCGCGCCGGCCGGCGGGCCGGCAGCUGCUCAACCGGGAUUUCGUCUCCAUCUUCAACACCGAGAAGCAGGAGAGAUCUCAGGGCGGGCAGUGUCCAAGUCCGGCAAACUCGAGUACAAGAACCUAAACAUCAAAGGGAGAACGUGAAUCCUAUUGGCUUACCUCAAGUUGCUCAGAAAUUCAGAAACUUGGAUGAUGCUUGGUCAUUUUGGGUGAACUAUGGAGGUCGUGCAGGUUUUGAGAUCAGAAAAAGGUACAAAAAUGAAAGUAAAUAUGAUGGAAAGGUAACUUCAUGUAGGUAUGUUUGUGCCAAGGUGGGUCGUCGAGCACAAGAUAAGAGGGAUCAUCUCAUGAAGAAUCCUCGAGCUGAAACAAGAACAUGUUGUCCAGUUCGGAUGGGUCUUACAUUGGACAGAGGGACAGGAAAUUAUGAAUUGGUUGACCUCAUGCUUGUACACAAUCAUGGUCUUUAUUUGCAACAAACUUUCCAUUUGAUGUCAUCACAAAGGAUAUUUCGGAAGUGCAAGCUUUUGAAAUUGAGACUGCUGAUGAUUCUGGAAUUAGGCCAAAGCUGCACAAGAGUAUGCUUGUCGCCAAGUAGGAGGAGCAAUGAAUCUCAGUUAUACUCCUCGUGAUCACAGAAACCAUUUGCAGGGCAGACGCCAAAGGGAGUUAGCAUAUCGUCAGGCAGGAAGCAUGUUGAAAUAUUUUGAAGACAAGAUCAGUGAGAACCCUUCUUUUCAAUAUGCUUUGCAGUUAGACUGUCAAGAACAUAUAACAAAUAUAUUCUGGGUUGAUGCUAAGAUGAUCAUUGAUUAUGCACACUUUGGGGAUGUUGUCACCUUUGAUACUACUUUUGGCACAAAUAAAGAGUAUAGGCCCUUUGGUGUUUUCAUUGGUUUCAAUCAGUUCAGAGAGACAGUUAUUUUUGGUGCUGCUAUUUUGUUCGAUGAAACAUGUGCCUCUUUCACGUGGCUAUUUGAGGCUUUCCUAACUGCCCAAAAUGGAAAGCAACCUAGAGCUAUAUUUACCGAUCAAGACGCUGCAAUGGGAAAUGCUGUUGGAAAGGUAUUCACUGAAGCAUGGCAUGGAUUGUGCACAUAUCACGUAAUGCAGAAUGCUGUCAAGCACUUAUGGCAAGAGCAAAGAUGAGGAAUCCAAUUCCCCCGAGGGAAUAAAAGAGGCAGAUGAAGAACCUCAUGUUCUCUUAGAUUUUAGUGCUUGCAUGUAUAACAUUGAAGACAAGGCAGCCUUUGAAGAAGCAUUUGACAUCAUGAUGAAUAAGGUGGAUAAGAAGAAGACAUCAUGGCUUGAUAGCAUCUACAAGUUCAAGGAAAAAUGGGCAGAAUGUUACAUGACGGAUGUUUUCACAUUGGGAAUGAGAAGCACACAAUUGAGUGAGAGUUUCAAUAGCGACUUCAAAAAACAUCUGAAAUCAUAUUUUGACAUCAUUCGGUUCUUAAAGCACUUUGAAAGGGCGGUGCAAGGAAAGAGAAACAAGGAACUAGAUGCAGAAUUUGAAGCUAGAAAAAAGCUACCUAGAAUAAGUAUGAAGACACCUAUGCUACAACAAACAAGCAAACUUUACACACACCAUAUUUGAAGCAUUCCAAACCGAAUAUGAAAGAUCCAUGGCUGCAUGUGCUAGGGCGUUGGAUGGAAAUAAUACAUAUGUUGUUGCAAUUGUGCGGGCCGAUGGAGAUUUAAGUUGUGAACAAGAGCGCAUUGUGGUUGGUGAUCCUUUGGCGCAAACAGCUUCAUGUAGUUGUGGGCAGUUUAAAAGGACCGGAGUAUUGUGUCGCCUUGCUUUGAAAGUUCUUGACAUGAUGAAUAUUAAGUUAUUACCGAACCAUUAUAUUCUGAAGCGGUGGACAAGGGAGGCAAGGUAUGAAACUAUACAAGACAACAAAGGGAGGAGCAUUAUUGAAAAUCCAAAAUUGGAUGCUAUGCUGCGGUACAAGUUUUUGUCUCACAAUUUUUUUUAAUUUGGCAUAUCAAGCUGCAAGCUCUCCUGAAUGUUGUCUGUUGGUGGACAAUACACUUGACAGCCUUGGGACCUGGUGUGUUUGAUGAUAUGCAUGUUGAAGAUCUUCUUUAGAGCUUUGUUUCAUUAUCUCCUGCUACACUGAGUCUAUUUUGCUAUUUUCGGAUGAACAUGUUGACCAGUUGCUGAAAGACUGUGCUAAUCUGCUGUAGUAGUAACCAUCGUGCUGCAGAUUAUUUUGGUUUUUUGGAGCAUGAAUUAUGUGCUAAUAUGUUGUAGUAUGAGAUUUACUGGUUGAUCAAGAAACUAAUUUGUACUGA